rnacentral:rRNA from 1 species
UACGGAGGGUGCGAGCGUUGUCCGGAAUCAUUGGGCGUAAAGGGCGCGUAGGUGGCUUGGUAAGCGUGCGGUGAAAGCCUGGGGCUCAACCCCGGGUCGGCCGUGCGAACUGCUGGGCUUGAGCACUGUAGAGGCAGGCGGAAUUCCGGGUGUAGCGGUGGAAUGCGUAGAGAUCCGGAAGAACACCGGUGGCGAAGGCGGCCUGCUGGGCAGUUGCUGACACUGAGGCGCGACAGCGUGGGGAGCAAACAGG